AUGAACGCUGGCGGCGUGCCUAAUACCUGCAAGUCGAGCGAACAGACGAGGAGCUUGCUCCUCUGACGUUAGCGGCGGACGGGUGAGUAACACGUGGAUAACCUACCUAUAAGACUGGGAUAACUUCGGGAAACCGGAGCUAAUACCGGGUAAUAUAUUGAACCGCAUGGUUCAAUAGUGAAAGACGGUUUUGCUGUCACUUAUAGAUGGAUCCGCGCCGCAUUAGCUAGUUGGUAAGGUAACGGCUUACCAAGGCAACGAUGCGUAGCCGACCUGAGAGGGUGAUCGGCCACACUGGAACUGAGACACGGUCCAGACUCCUACGGGAGGCAGCAGUAGGGAAUCUUCCGCAAUGGGCGAAAGCCUGACGGAGCAACGCCGCGUGAGUGAUGAAGGUCUUCGGAUCGUAAAACUCUGUUAUUAGGGAAGAACAAAUGUGUAAGUAACUAUGCACGUCUUGACGGUACCUAAUCAGAAAGCCACGGCUAACUACGUG
rnacentral:rRNA from 1 species